rnacentral:rRNA from 1 species
AAGUCAUAACAAGGUUUCCGUAGGUGAACCUGCGGAAGGAUCAUUAAUGAUGCCCUCGACGUCUUUUGACUGGUAGGGUUGUGCCGCGUCUCUUAUCCCUAAGAGCCGGCCUUAUCUCACACACCGUGAACUGUGGCCUCGGCCAUUUACACAAACUGUUAGUAAUGAAUGUAAUAUCAUAACAAACAUAAAACUUUUAACAACGGAUCUCUUGGCUCUCGCAUCGAUGAAGAACGCAGCGAAAUGCGAUAAGUAAUGUGAAUUGCAGAAUUCAGUGAAUCAUCGAAUCUUUGAACGCACCUUGCGCCCUUUGGUAUUCCGAAGGGCAUGCCUGUUUGAGUGUCAUGAAACCUCACCCCACCCGGGUUUUUGCCCGGCUGGUGGUGGAUUGGGCGUCUGCCGAUAUACUGGCUCGCCUUAAAAGCAUAAGCGCCUUGGAUGUAAUACGUUUCAUCCUCACGGGUGGCUGACAACCCCACAUAUCUCAUGAUCUGGCCUCAAAUCAGGUAGGGCUACCCGCUGAACUUAA